rnacentral:rRNA from 1 species
GAUGAACGCUGGCGGCGUGCCUAAUACAUGCAAGUCGAGCGAACGGACGAGAAGCUUGCUUUUCUGAUGAUAGCGGCGGGCGGGUGAGUAACACGUGGAUAACCUACCUAUAAGACUGGGAUAACUUCGGGAAACCGGAGCUAAUACCGGAUAAUAUUUUGAACCGCAUGGUUCAAAAGUGAAAGACGGUCUUGCUGUCACUUAUAGAUUGAUCCGCGCUGCAUUAGCUAGUUGGUAAGGUAACGGCUUACCAAGGCAACGAUGCAUAGCCGACCUGAGAGGGUGAUCGGCCACACUGGAACUGAGACACGGUCCAGACUCCUACGGGAGGCAGCAGUAGGGAAUCUUCCGCAAUGGGCGAAAGCCUGACGGAGCAACGCCGCGUGAGUGAUGAAGGUCUUCGGAUCGUAAAACUCUGUUAUUAGGGAAGAACAUAUGUGUAAGUAACUGUGCACAUCUUGACGGUACCUAAUCAGAAAGCCACGGCUAACUACGUG